GAAAUGCGAUAAGUAAUGUGAAUUGCAGAAUACUGUGAGUCAUCAAAUCCUUGAACGCAAAUUGCGCCUAUUGGAUCACCAAUAGGCACGCCUGUUUGAGUGUCGUUUUCCUACAUCAAAACCCCACGGGUUUUUGGAUGCUGAGUGUUCAAUUCUCGCACGAGAAUUGAUCGCUUGAAAUGGAGUGGUCCGAGGACUGGACAUCCCACCAGAACUGGAUGCGAUAACCCUUGUUGAGUUUCAACCAAAGGUUGUCGGUCCGUUGUAUGAUUGGGUAUCAGUCUCUCAUCGCAAGGAAACUCUUUUUUUAUCUCUCUAUCGACCUCAAAUCAGGUGAGAUUACCCGCUGAACUUAA
rnacentral:misc_RNA from 1 species